GACGUAGGAUGCAAGCGUUGUCCGGAUUUAUUGGGCGUAAAGAGUUCGUAGGCGGUUCGUUAAGUCUGAUGUUAAAGACUGGGGCUCAACCCCGGGAGUGCAUUGGAUACUGGCGGACUGGAGUGUGGUAGAGGCUAGUGGAAUUCCCAGUGUAGCGGUGAAAUGCGUAGAUAUUGGGAAGAACACCAGUGGCGUAGGCGACUAGCUGGGCCAUAACUGACGCUGAGGAACGAAAGCCAGGGGAGCGAAUGG
rnacentral:rRNA from 1 species